AUGAAGCAUCUUGGCAUUCUUGCACUGUUGUGUCUGCCGGUCUGCUUGGCUUAUCCACUGAAGGAAGGAAGCGAAGGAAGAAGUGGACCCCAACACAGAUCUUGCCCUGCAGUACCUAGAAAACUACUACGACUUCGCAAAAGACGUGAAAAAAAUCUGUUGGAAGAAAGGACAGUGGUGCUGUUGUCCAAAAAAUUUGAGAAAUGCAGAAGCUCCUUGGGCUGGAGGUGAUGGGGACUCCAACACUCUGGAGGUGAUGCACAAGCCCAGGUGUGGGGUUCUUGACGUUGGUUACUUUGGCACCUUUCCUGGGAUGCCAAAGUGGAGGAGAAACCACCUCACCUACAAGUAAUGGAUUGUGAAUUAUACACCGGAUUUGCCAAGAAAUGCUGUUGAUUCCGCCAUCGAGAAUGCUCUGAAAGUCCUUCAGAGGUGAUGCCGCUCACAUUCCCCAGGCUGUAUGAAGGAGCGGCUGACAUAAAGAUCUCUUUUGCAGUUGAACAGAGAGACUUUUUCUCUUUUGAGGGACCAGAGUACAGUUUGGUGCGUGCCUAUCCACCUGGACCUGGGUUUUAUGGAGACGUUCACUUUGAUCAUGACAAAAUGGACAAAGGAUGCACCAGGGACUAAUUUAUUCCUCAUUGCUACUCAUGAACUUGGCCACUCCCUGGGUCUGUUUCACUCGACCAACACGAAAGUUUUAGUGUACCCACUCUUCAACUCCUUCACGGACCUGUCUCAGUUCCGCCUUUCUCAAGAUGACGUGGAUGGCAUUCAGUCCUGCUACAGACUGCCCCCUGCCUCCCCUGAGGACCCCCGGGUGCCCACGGAGUCUGUCCCUCCAGGACCUGAGACACCAGCCAUGUGUGAUCCUGCUUUGCCCAUUGAUGCUGUCACCACGCUGAGGGGAGAAGACCUGUUCUUUAAAGACAGAUAUUUUCGGCGCGGAUUCCAUUGGACCCCUGAGGAGGUUCAUUUGAUUUCUGCAUUUUGGGCCUCUCUUCCAUCAGAUUUGGAUGCUGCGUAUAAAGCUAAUAGCAAGGAUACCGUUUUUAUUUUUAAAAGAAAUAAGUUGUGGGCAACCAGAGGAAAUGAGAUACAAGAAGGUUACCCCAGAGGCAUCCACACUCUGGGUUUCCCUCCGACCGUUAGGAAAAUUGAUGCAGCUGUUUCUGAGAAGGAAAAUAAGAAAACAUGCUUCUCUGUAGAAGACAAAUACUGGACAUUUGAUGAAAAUAGCCAGUUCAUAGAACAAGGCUUCCCCAGACUAAUAGCUGAUGACUUUCCAGGAGUUGAGCAAAGGUCGAUGCUGUGUUACGGGCAUUUGCCAUCACCUUUCAGGCCACUGUAUGAUGGGUCAUCACAGUUUGAGUCUGGCCCUAAUGCUAGGAUGGUGGCACAUAUAUUGAAGAGUAACAGCUGGUUACAUUGUUAGGCGAGACUGAGAGAAGAUGCGCAUGGGCGUUUGAAAUGAAUCUAAGAGUCA